rnacentral:rRNA from 1 species
AUGCACUACAAACAACACAAACUCAGGAAACAUUUCAGGACAAGUGGAAUAAUAAUGCCACUAAGAAAAAUAUAUAUCAAAGUACUAUGCAUCACAUAUAUCAAGGGCAAGGAGAGGAGGACGGCAGCCGAGGAGAGGAGGGCGGCGACCGAGGAGAAGAAGACGGAGGUUGAGGAAAGGAAUGUGGUCAUGGAAGAGAGAAUCAAAAGCAUUGAACAAGAGCAAAAGUUCAUGUUCAUGGACACAAGUGGUCUUGGUGACAAGGCGAAAGCAUACGUGGAGCUUUGUCGCGAUCAAGUGUUGGCGGUGAGGUCUAUUGGAGGCUUCAUGAUGGGAGGAUUCAUGGGAGGCAUGAGAGGAGCCAUGGGCGCCAUGGGAAGAGGCAUGGGUGGUGCAAUGGAUGGGAAUGAAAAACAAUGGUGCCAAACUGCCAAUGAUGUCAAUGGUGGCAUUGGAGAAGAAGCAAUCAAUGGAGAGGAAGCAAGCCAUGAAGAAGAUGCAAGCACAACUAAUGGCAAUGAAGGCAAUGCCAUUUGA